UGUAAUGAUGCUGGGGUGGG
rnacentral:piRNA from 1 species